GACGACCGAAGGUUGGAUGGAUACGGAAGUUAGGAGGCGGGACUUAUUCUGGAGAGGUCUAUACAAACAUCACUGUUACUAGAGGUCACUAUAGCGGCACUAUUUGAGAGCCAGAUGGCCAACAGCAGCCUCAAAGCACAAAAUAACAAACUGCAAAAAGAAAAAAAAGUCCUGAGCAACGUCAUUGAAGCCAGCAACAAUGAGAUGUCUGAUGUUUUGUUUGCGAGCGAUACAAACAAGAAGAUAGUAGAUCUUACCCAACACAUCAAGGCUUUGGAGGGGAAAUUCAAGAGGCAUUGGAUGAGGACACACACAAGAACAUGGAGAUGACCCUCCGUCACGAGAUGGAAGAAGCCGGAAAACAUGAGGAGGUCGAUGAGGUCAUCAAUCAUGUUGAGGUGAAAGAGGAGGUUACAGAUGAGACAGUGGAGAUGGACAUCAGUUGUGAGGAGAUGGUCAAGCAUGAGAUGAGAGAGACACAGGAGCCUGAGGUGAUGGAGCCACUCAUCAGGCAUCAGGCAGGGGACAUUCACGAGUCCAUCAAACUUGAGAUUGGGAAGGCAGAGGUUAAUAACUAUGUGGAUUCAGGUGCUGAGAGGCCUAUCCGGGCACAAAUCAGCCUCCUGGAGGAGGAAAACA